GGCAGGUUAGCUCAGUUAGUUGAGUGUGGCGCUAACAACGCUAAGGACGUGGGUUCGAUUCCCCUUCGGUCC
rnacentral:tRNA from 1 species